GCGAUCAUACCAGCACUAAUGCAUCGGAUCCCAUCAGAACUCCGUAGUUAAGCGUGCUUGGGCGAGAGUAGUACUAGGAUGGGUGACCCCUUGGGAAAGUCCUCGUGUUGCACCCA
rnacentral:rRNA from 1 species